rnacentral:rRNA from 1 species
GAUGAACGCUAGCUACAGGCUUAACACGUGCAAGUCGAGGGGUAACAAGAGAAAAGCUUGCUUUUCUUGUUGACGACCGGCGCACGGGUGAGUAACGCGUAUCCAACCUGCCUAUAACUAGGGAAUAACCUUGCGAAAGUAAGACUAAUACCCUAUGAUUUCCUUUGAUGACAUCAGAUUAGGAAUAAAGAUUUAUCGGUUAUAGAUGGGGAUGCGUCUGAUUAGCUUGUUGGCGGGGUAACGGCCCACCAAGGCAACGAUCAGUAGGGGUUCUGAGAGGAAGGUCCACCACAUUGGAACUGAGACACGGUCCAAACUCCUACGGGAGGCAGCAGUGAGGAAUAUUGGUCAAUGGGCGGAGGCCUGAACCAGCCAAGUAGCGUGCAGGAUGACGGCCCUAUGGGUUGUAAACUGCUUUUAUACAGGAAUAAAGUUAGCCACGUGUGGUUAUUUGUAGGUACUGUAUGAAUAAGGACCGGCUAAUUCCGUGCAGCCGCCGCAGUAA